rnacentral:rRNA from 1 species
GCAGCCGCGGUAAUACGUAGGGGGCGAGCGUUAUCCGGAAUUAUUGGGCGUAAAGAGUACGUAGGUGGUUUCCUAAGCGAGGGGUUUAAGGCAAUGGCUUAACCAUUGUUCGCCCCCCGAACUGGGUUACUUGAGUGCUGGAGGGGAAAGCGGAAUUCCUAGUGUAGCGGUGAAAUGCGUAGAUAUUAGGAGGAACACCAGUGGCGAAGGCGGCUUUCUGGACAGUAACUGACACUGAGGUACGAAAGUGUGGGGAGCAAACAGGAUUAGAUACCCC